UACGGGGGGGGCAAGCGUUGUUCGGAAUUACUGGGCGUAAAGGGCCAGUAGGCGGCCAACUAAGUCCGACGUGAAAUCCCCAGGCUUAACCUGGGAACUGCGUCGGAUACUGGAUGGCUUGAAUUCGGGAGAGGGAUGCAGAAUUCCAGGUGUAGCGGUGAAAUGCGUAGAGAUGUGGAGGAAUACCGAUGGCGAAGGCAGCCCCCUGGGCCAAUACUGACGCUCAUGCACGAAAGCGUGGGGAGCAAACAGG
rnacentral:rRNA from 1 species